AAAAAGACUGUGGCUUGGGACUUCCCUGGUGGCGCAGUGGUUGGGAGUCCGCCUGCCAGUGCAGGGGACACGAGUUCGAUCCCUGGUCCAGGAGGAUCCCACAUGCCGCGGAGUAGCUGAGCCCGUGCGCCACAACUACUGAGCCUGCGCUCUAGAGCCCGUGCUCAACAAGAGAAGCCACCGCAAUGAGAAGCCCGCGCACCGCAACGAAGAGUAGCCCCCGCUCGCCGCGAUUAGAGAAAGCCCACGUGCAGCAACGAAGACCCAACACAGCCAAUAAAUAAGUAAAUCACUGACUCUGUGGGAGGAUGGCAGCCUGAAGAGGCCCACAUGGUGAGGAACUGAGGCCAACAGCCCUGUGAGUGAGCUUUCUUGGGAGGAUCCUUCAGCCCCAGUCAAGCCUUCAGAUGACUGCAGCGCUGGCUGACAUCUUGACAGCAAUCUCACGAUCAUCUCUGAGCCAGAAUUACCCAGCUAAGCCACUCCUUGACUUUGGGCUCUCAGAAUCUACAUGAGAUAAUAAAUAUUUGUUGUUUUAA